GCUAAAUACUCCUGACUGACCGAUAGUGAACCAGUACCGUGAGGGAAAGGCGAAAAGAACCCCGGCGAGGGGAGUGAAAAAGAACCUGAAACCGUGUACGUACAAGCAGUGGGAGCACCUUCGGGUGUGACUGCGUACCUUUUGUAUAAUGGGUCAGCGACUUAUAUUCUGUAGCAAGGUUAACCGUAUAGGGGAGCCGCAGGGAAACCGAGUCUUAACUGGGCGUUAAGUUGCAGGGUAUAGACCCGAAACCCGGUGAUCUAGCCAUGGGCAGGUUGAAGGUUGGGUAACACUAACUGGAGGACCGAACCGACUAAUGUUGAAAAAUUAGCGGAUGACUUGUGGCUGGGGGUGAAAGGCCAAUCAAACCGGGAGAUAGCUGGUUCUCCCCGAAAGCU
rnacentral:rRNA from 1 species